AAUAAGCUUAUUAAUAGUUAGUAAGGUUAGCUGUUGUAGUGGUAAAAUUCAGGUAUUGGGUAGGAUUAACCAUUGACUGGACGGAGAUGUUAUGGAUAUGAGCGACGGCACUCAAACGAUCAUCUAACGUUGAAUCAGAUGAAGACUGGACAAGAUGACAGCAGGAGAGGAACCCUACCAGCAGAAGAUAAGAUGUUAUAGCUAAAUAGAUAUACUAAAUAGUUUGACAUAUAAUAGUGUGAGAUAUAUAGCCUUUUUGCCAAAUCGCGAUUGUCAUAAUGUGUUGCAUGUUGCCAACAACAUCUAAGAAAUAUAAUUAUAAAAUUUGUAAAUAGUUUGAGAUAUAUAGUGUGAGUUCUAAUAAUAAAUUGUUUUAAUACCAUAGCAUUUUGUAUCUUUAUUUGGACAAAAUUUAGUUUCAAGAAUUGAAGAAACACUAUAAUGUGUUAAUGCUUCAGUUACUAUAUGUCAGCAAUAUUUGACAGUAAAUCUGUAUAAGGGAUAGAAUAGCUCUAAGUGUAACCUUUCAUUAGAGCCCAAAAUUAUGACUGUACAUUAAAGCAUUGAAGAAUAACAGCCUUUUAUGUGUUGAUGGUUCCAAAGGGCCAUUUGGAGUCUCCAAGUGGCUUUUUUUGGGGAGCGCCUAGACAUAAACUCAAAUAAACAUGUGUAAAACACU